CGCUCUGAGGAAGAAAACAGAAUUACCACUGUGCUGGUCAAACAAAAUGGCUAAGCACAGGUGUGUUCCAAAUGGAUGUACUAACCACUACCAUUUAGAUUACCUUCUAGCCCAGUGUUUGCAGUGUUGAAGGUGGAGAAAAGCAGUAACUACCACUUGCCUUUUGGAAUCUGGCACACCCAGUCAAGUUUUGCAUCACAAGAAAAAGGCUUCAAAUAACCAAAUUUUCUCUCAUCAUAGUAAUACCAGGUUCUUAGCCAAGCAUUGUCAAGUACCUAAAGGAGGAAGAGGAUGGCAGGAUAUUCUGAAACUGUUGCAGCUCUUUGCAAACACUGUAAGCUACAGUCUCCAUCUCUACUUUAGUUCCAGCACCCACCAUACAUGCAAAAUUAACAGAUGAAGGCAUGGGAUGUUUAAACAGUAAAAUUUUGUGCAAGAGUUUUCCAAGUGACAAAGGAAACAAAGUCGUGUUUAUGCCCAAAAUGCUAAUUGUUGUCUUUUUUGUUGUUGUUGACAUGAAACUUUAGACUUUAUGCUUUUUUCCAUUUCUUUUUAAAAUUCCAAUAAAAACUUUUCCUUGUA